rnacentral:rRNA from 1 species
UACAGAGGGUGCUAGCGUUGUUCGGAAUCAUUGGGCGUAAAGGGCUCGUAGGCGGUCCGUCACGUCGGGAGUGAAAACUCGGGGCUCAACCCCGAGCCUGCUUUCGAUACGGGCGGACUAGAGGUAGGUAGGGGAGAACGGAAUUCCUGGUGUAGCGGUGGAAUGCGCAGAUAUCAGGAGGAACACCGGUGGCGAAGGCGGUUCUCUGGGCCUUACCUGACGCUGAGGAGCGAAAGCGUGGGGAGCGAACAGG